rfam:Helianthus annuus linkage group 8, whole genome shotgun sequence.
UCACUUACCUGGAUGGGGUCAAUGGGCGAUCAAGAAGGUCCAUGGCCUAGGUUGGUGGCCUCCAUUGCACUCCGGAGGGGUGCCUGCCUAAGGUCGGCCCAAGUGGUCGAGCCUACAUCAUAAUUUGUGGCAGUGGGGGCUUGCGUUCGCGCAGCCCCUGC